rnacentral:rRNA from 1 species
GACGAACGCUGGCGGCGUGCUUAACACAUGCAAGUCGAACGGUGAUGCUCCAGCUUGCUGGAGUGGAUCAGUGGCGAACGGGUGAGUAACACGUGAGCAACCUGCCCCAGACUCUGGAAUAAGCGCUGGAAACGGCGUCUAAUACUGGAUACGAAACUGGCCCGCAUGGGCAUGGUUUGGAAAGUUUUUCGGUUUGGGAUGGGCUCGCGGCCUAUCAGCUUGUUGGUGAGGUAAUGGCUCACCAAGGCGACGACGGGUAGCCGGCCUGAGAGGGCGACCGGCCACACUGGGACUGAGACACGGCCCAGACUCCUACGGGAGGCAGCAGUGGGGAAUAUUGCACAAUGGGCGAAAGCCUGAUGCAGCGACGCCGCGUGAGGGAUGACGGCCUUCGGGUUGUAAACCUCUUUCAGUAGGGAAGAAGCGAAAGUGACGGUACCUGCAGAAGAAGCACCGGCUAACUACGUG